UACGGAGGGUGCGAGCGUUGUCCGGAAUCAUUGGGCGUAAAGGGCGCGUAGGUGGCCCGGUCAGUUCGUGGUGAAAGCGCGGGGCUCAACCCUGCGUCGGCCAUGAAUACUGCCGCGGCUGGAGCACUGUAGAGGCAGGCGGAAUUCCGGGUGUAGCGGUGGAAUGCGUAGAGAUCCGGAAGAACACCGGUGGCGAAGGCGGCCUGCUGGGCAGUUGCUGACACUGAGGCGCGACAGCGUGGGGAGCAACAGGGAUUAAGAAACCCC
rnacentral:rRNA from 1 species